rnacentral:tRNA from 1 species
GCUCGGGUGAUGGAAUUGGUAGACAUACGGGACUUAAAAUCCCGGGACCGUUAGGUCGUGAGGGUUCGAGUCCCUCCCUGAGCA